ACUUUCAUACUUCACGUACUAUUUUAUUACAAUCUCAUACAAUCUCUUUAAAACAUUUCACUUUCAUACCUUAUGUAUUAUUUUAUUUCAACAUAAUACCUCUGUUAGAUUUUUCAUCCAUUAAUCCGUUAAAUCCUGACGUGGCUGCCACAUUUGUGCUGAUGUGGCUGCCAUGUGGCAAUUUUUUUUUUUUUUUUAUAUGUACAUUAAAAAUAUUAUAAUAUUAACCCUAUUAAAAAAAAAGAAACUCAAACCCAAAAAUCCUUCCCCGCAACACCACAUCCCACCCCCACCCCUUACCCAUCUCUUCCUUCCCGUCCCUCCAUCCCCUCCACCCGAGCACCCCUCAGCUCGGGUCCCACCUUGACCUCUCUCUCUCUCUCCCCCUCCCUCUCUCUCUCUUCUGUAAAAUGUGGAAUGGUUUUUGAGGUCUAGUGCCUCGCCUCCCUCCCUCCUCCUGGACCCUUCCAACCUCGACCUCUCCUGCCUCGCCUCCCUCAACCUCCUGUCAUGUAUAUUAUAAUAUUAUAAUAUUUUUAAUGUAUAAAAAAUUAUUAUUUUUACCACAUGGCAGCCACAGCAGCACAAAUGGGCUGUCAUGUCAACAUUUAACGGAUUAAUAGAUGAAAAAUCUAACCGAUGUAUUAUGUUGAAAUAAAAUAAUACAUGGAGGUAUGAAAGUGAAAUAUUUUAAAAAGAUUGUAUGAGAUUGUAAUAAAUUUCAAACCUGAGGUGUUACCAUAUAAUUUACCCAAAAAAACCAAAACAACAAAACAGACAGCAAAAAGGUAAACAGAAUGCAUACCGAAAAAUCACCAAACAACAUCAAAUCAUAUAACGAAAAAUUCAUAGCAAAUCUGGAUGGAUUCGAACCACCAACCUCUCAAAAGCCCAGUCAAGGACCUUGAGCGCUCUACCAUUUUUGAGCUUACAGAUCUUCAUUUCAAGCAACGAGCAGGAGGCCGAAAUCGAUCAACAAAGUUUAACUUCUGAAUUUUCCAGCUUAAUUCUUUUCAGUAAGAAAUUUACAGUACAAGCAACUACUUGUCGACUUACGUUAUGUACAUAUGGUACAUCUAUUUAAAUGGGGGUAGUAGUCUACCAAAAAAAAAAAUCUAAGUUAAGCCCCGCAAUAAACCAACAAUAAUGUUGAGCCUUUGCAUAAUGAUGUUAGUUCAAAUCCCACAGUAAUCAACUUGGAGUCAAUUUAAGGCAAUUUAAGGCAAUUCAAGGCAAGCAUCCUUCCAUGAUGAAAAAAUGUUGAGCCUUUACAUAAUGAUGUUAGUUCAAAUCCCGUCGGUGACCAACCUAAAAUUUAAUCUUACAAAAUCUAUUACUUGACCAAAAUAAAAUAUAAUUUUAAGGUCCCCCAAAAAUUUAGGGCAUCCCUUUUCUCGUCUGAUAUAUAGAUCCAAAAAUUAACUUCUCCGAAGGCAUAAAAAAUACAAGUGUUCUAAGCAGAGCAACUAUUCCCCUCAAAAUUAACUUCUCCGAGGGCAUAAAAAAACAAGUGUUCCAAGCAAAGCAACUAUUCCCCAGCCCAAAAACAAAUUAUGCUGUUUCAAUUUUACAAUUAACUUGCAGUAACAAAUGAUUCCUGCAAAUUUUUAGCUUUAAGAUUUAUUUGGAUUUACUUUUAAAAUGAUUGAAAAAUGACUAAGAAUUGGUUCUAAAAAAUGACUAAAAAUACUUUCAGAAAAAAUAUUUUUUUGUUCCAAAAACACUUGAAAUACUUUCCGGAACAAGCACAUAUUGUGCUUCUUACAGGAAGCAAUUUAAAUGUAAAUGUUUUUUUUUCAGAAUUUACUUACAUUUUUACUACGAAUUGGUUACAAAAACAUUUUCACCAAAAACGCUUUCAAUCAUUUUAAAACCACAUCCAAACGAGCUUAGUUAAAGAGGUUGCAUCAUAUAAAGGAAGACAUCAUGAACUAAACGCCACCUUCUGUAAGUAAUAGUAAAUAGAAACUACAUAAUACAAACAUUGAACAACUACGCGGAGCUGUUUGAAAAAUAACCAAAAUCAUAACCCCUAAUUGUGAAUCGGGCAAUAUCAACAGACCACAAUUUGAUCUAUCAUCCAAGUACUAUAAAAACAACCCCAGUUUAACGAUAAUUCCUCCGCAAUUCCAUACAAACAACAAAACCAAGGGAAUAUAUUCAAUCUAAACUCUUUUAACAAAUGAAUAGAAUAAAUAAAUGAUAAUGCCAACACCUAUGAAUGAUCAAUCGCAAUGACUUGAAUCACAAAACGUAAAUUAACCGAAAACAUUACUUGCCAAUACUUCAAAAGCUUCUUGUAAAUUAACAGAAAACAUUACUUGCCAAUACUUAAAAGCUUUAGUUUCAUUGGUCACCUCAAAUCCUCAGAAAAGAGGUUGUCACGAAAAGAACUUCUGGACCUAUCCCACAACCAAGCAGCUUGUAUUUGAGCCGAAAUUUAGUUUAACUUGUAAUUGUGAUGAGAGGCUUCGUUCUGGCCAUUCGGGCUCGUCGAGCAGUAAUCUUCCGGCAUCAAAUCUCCCUAGAAUCAUCUAAUUGGAAUACAAUGCAUGGCUUACAGCAAUGGAAUCCAAAACCAACAUAAUUACAUAAUAUUACAAAGAUCCAUCAACUAACAGAUCUCACAAUAUCUAAUAACAUCCGUUAUAAACAAAUAUUAAGGCAAAGGCCAACAAUUUAGAUGAUAAUCUCAUCCUCAGCUCAUAGAAUUUGUACUACCAUAACAUUAAUAACGAGGCAAUAAACAGUGCAGAAGAGACUUUGGUAUCAUAAGAAUGACUUGUAAAAGUAAGCAGGAACGAAUCGGAGGUUUCGAGAAUUGUUUAGAAGGAUGAUAUAAGUACGUUUGUGCAUAAGUAGACAGAGAAAUUACCAACUAUAUCAAACAAAGUUUUGAUUCCAAAUUAUUUCUGUCCUUUCUUAUUCCAAACAAAGUUUUGAUUCCAAAUUAUUCCAA
rnacentral:lncRNA from 1 species